ACAAUUUAGAUAAUUUUCUGGUUUCUAAUGAACAGUUACUUUGAAUGUUUUAACUGUGCCUUUAUGAAGGACCCUUGAUGGAAAAUCUGUAAUAAAUUCUGUUAUUUACUAUAAUUUUUCUUGUGCAUGUGCAGAGGUCUAGACAAUCAAGGUUUGAAGGGUUUCUUGCCAACUGACAUAUCCAGGCUAUGUCAUCUGCUGAGCAUAAACUUGAGUGGAAACAGCAUCCAUGGACCUAUUCCAUCUUCAAUUGGAACAAUUGCUGGGUUGGAGACUUUGGAUUGCCAGAUGUCGAUCAUUGGUUCUACAGCUGCACAUGAUGGAUGAAGGACAACCAGAGUAUGCCGAGUUUCUAUGGUUCUACAAGUGUAACUUCAAUGGUAACAAGUUGACGAGGAGGGCUUGCAUGAAAAAAUUGAAAAACAAUUCUUCAUUUUGACAACCAGAGUACUUUUUGCUGCAUUGAAUUGGUUUUCUGUUUGUGAUGAGUGUUAAAGAUGGUGCAUCGUUUGUAUAUUUUAAUUUAUCCACUUAUUCAUCUAUAGAUAAUGAGUUUAUAUAUGAAGACGGUUUUUCAAUAUGCUUCAUCUAGCUCGG